ACAGCUGUACAGUUCUAUUAAAACAGACGAACUUCCUCAGCUGUCAAAGAUUGUGAAUGCUUGGCUGAAGCUAAGAGCUAAAGUACAGCAGACACGUGAGAGAACAGCCCCAGUGACAAGUAACUACCUUCAAAGGACAAUCACAUUGGAGACUCCAGCAGCAGUCUGCCGUCAUGUGCAUGUCCCCUCUGCCUUGAUAUCUCUCCUCCAUCACCUUCAUGUCCUGGUGAAACCUCUCGCCUUGUUCCUCCAAUGUUAUCUGGAAAUCUGUUUAAAUGGCUGUGGAGAUAGUGCAUCUUUCUGCUCAUAUUAACUCCCAAAUUUCUGAAGUUACCAAGCGUACCUUGCACCUUACUUCAUACUUGUCUGCUCUGUGAGCACCCAAGUAGUUCUUCACAACAGAGACAAAACUCUUCCAGGCCGCAGCAGAGUACAUCAGGAUUGGCUAUUAUUGCAUUUUUUAUCACACACAAGUCGCAUUGCAGGAAUGCAUUAUUUUCAUUACCUCAAAAACUAGAACCAAUUCAGUGGGAUUGUUGAAUUCAGCACCCUCAAAAUACCCUAAAUCCAUUCAAAAAACCUUGGCACCUGAAAAAAAAGUUUGUAGACCUGUGUUAUUAUUAUAUCAUAACCUCCUUGAGGUGUUUGAGAAGCAGAUUCUGUUUCAGGUUGCCUUUGUUCGCCGCCUGCGGAGUGACAGUGUGACCCUCGCUUAUCCUUCUGUCUCUCUCUCACCUCUUGCUCCCUGAGUCUCUCAGCUCCGUGUCACGAAGAUCUGACUAAACCACAGUGCCCUGCGUUAGUGACGUCAGUGGUGCUCACUUGGCCCUGGUUUCCAGGUGUUUUUCAGGGGCCCUGUGGUCAGUCUGCCCACGCACACGACCAACCACGACGACAAACUGUCAUCAGACUCCCCUCUUUAUGGUGCCAUUGACACUGACUCCUGAGUUUUGUACUGUCAUGGCUUCAUGUGAGUGGCUGAGGCCCCGGAGGAUGGGGUGGGUCGGUGGGGGGUGGGAUUCCAGAAGGACAUUCCUGGACGCAAGGAUCCUGCUGUCCUGGAGCGCAUCCCAUGUCCGAUCCCCCCCCAGCCGACACACUCAUCCUUGAGGCGUGGUGACCCGGAGUGGAAUUCCCCAGUCACCAUGGUGUCCCGUCCACGAAUAGGAGCUGCCCUGUAAGUAACACUGGCUUGAAACACGCAGGCCGCCCUGUGGUUCGCCGGCGGGCAGCCAGCCUGCUUGUUACAGCUGCCUCACUGCCCUCCUCAGCUCCAGCGCUUGGGAAGCGCGACGGAAACCAGACUUCCAGGCCUCUUUUUUUCCUCCCGUCUUUUUCGCUUGUGGUUUCUAUUUUUUCCACAUGUCUUUUUUUUUUCUUUUAUACCUUUUUUUUCGCCCUAAAUGUAACGACAAUUUCAUGUUCAUGUGUAAAGUGUAAUUUGUGUCCUGCCAGUCUGUGAUAAUUGCAAUCCUACGUAAAAACAAAUGGUCCCUUUCUCCUGCAGGGAGCCUCGUUGCCAUAAAAACGGUUAUUAAAAGUGCAGGAUUUGACCAGUCAUUGUGUGGAGAGCGGGACCCUUCGCAGCCCACAUGCACAGCGGCCAUUUCCACCUGCCGCGUCACACAUUCGGA